UAAGCCUUUGCCACUCAGACAUGUUCCUGA
rnacentral:piRNA from 1 species